ensembl:miRNA
CUGCGUAUCCAGUCAGGAGUCAGUUAGGAAGUUUUAAGUCUGAAUUAAUUCUGGGUGUUGACUGAGAUGUGGUGG